GACGAACGCUGGCGGCGUGCUUAACACAUGCAAGUCGAACGAAGAGCGAUGGAGGCUUGCUUCUCUCAAUCUUAGUGGCGAACGGGUGAGUAACGCGUAAUCAACCUUCCCUUCAGAGGGGGACAACAGUUGGAAACGACUGCUAAUACCGCAUACGAUCUAAUCUCGGCAUCGAGGAAAGAUGAAAGGUGGCCUCUAUUUAUAAGCUCUCACUGAAGGUGGGGAUUGCGUCUGAUUAGCUAGUUGGAGGGGUAACGGCCCACCAAGGCGAUGAUCAGUAGCCGGUCUGAGAGGAUGAACGGCCACAUUGGGACUGAGACACGGCCCAGACUCCUACGGGAGGCAGCAGUGGGGAAUCUUCCGAAAUGGACGUAAGUCUGACGGAGCAACGCCGCGGGAGUGAUGACGGCCGUCGGGUUGUAAAGCUCUGUUAAUCGGGACGAAAGGCCUUCUUGCGAACAGUUAGAAGGAUUGACGGUACCGGAAUAGAAAGCCACGGCUAACUACGUG
rnacentral:rRNA from 1 species